UACGUAGGUGACAAGCGUUGUCCGGAUUUACUGGGCGUAAAGAGCGCGCAGGCGGUCGUUCAAGUCGAGUGUGAAAGCCCCCGGCUCAACUGGGGAGGGUCAUUCGAUACUGAUCGACUCGAAGGCAGGAGAGAGUAGUGGAAUUCCCGGUGUAGUGGUGAAAUGCGUAGAUAUCGGGAGGAACACCAGUGGCGAAGGCGACUACCUGGCCUGUUCUUGACGCUGAGGCGCGAAAGCUAGGGGAGCAAACGGG
rnacentral:rRNA from 1 species